rnacentral:misc_RNA from 1 species
GAUGAAGAACGCAGCGAAAUGCGAUAAGUAAUGUGAAUUGCAGAAUUCAGUGAAUCAUCGAAUCUUUGAACGCAACUUGCGCCUUUUGGUAUUCCGAAAGGCAUGCCUGUUUGAGUGUCAUAUAAACCUCACCUCUACUGUUUUUCAUUAGACAUGUGGACUGGUGCUUUGGGCGUCUGCCGUUUACUCUGGCUCGCCUCAAAUGUCUAAGUGGAAUGCGUAAUAAGUCUUCGCAACCCUCCACUCUAAUACAAACUUUUAUAUUCUGACCUCAAAUCAGGUAGGACUACCCGCUGAACUUAAGCAUAUCAAUAAGCGGAGGA